CCUACGGGAGGCUGCAGUCGAGAAUCAUUCACAAUGGGGGAAACCCUGAUGGUGCAACGCCGCGUGGGGGAAUGAAGGUCUUCGGAUUGUAAACCCCUGUCAUGUGGGAGCAAAUUCAGAAGAUAGUACCCCAAGAGGUAGAGACGGCUAACUCUGUGCCAGCAGCCGCGGUACUACCGAGGUCUCAAGCGUUGAUCGGAAUCACUGGGCGUAAAGCGUGCGUAGGCUGUUUCGUAAGUCGGGUGUGAAAGGCGCGGGCUCAACCCGCGGACUGCACAUGAUACUGCGAGACUAGAGUAAUGGAGGGGGAACCGGAAUUCUCGGUGUAGCAGUGAAAUGCGUAGAUAGCGAGAGGAACACUCGUGGCGAAGGCGGGUUCCUGGACAUUAACUGACGCUGAGGCACGAAGGCGAGGGGAGCGAAAGGGAUUAGAUACCCUUGUAGUC
rnacentral:rRNA from 1 species